GGUUGGCAGGAGCAGGGACCGAGCAACAGGAGCUCACCCCGUCACGGGGAUUACAUUCCUUGAUUUUCUCCAGAGCUAGUGCCAUUAAAGCUAGUACCUAUUUAUUUUAUUUUAAAGUGCUUAUUCUGCCCUGGGAUAUUGCAUCUUCUAGGACAUCUAACAGAAAAAUAAACACAUAAAAUGUAUGUAUUUAUCUAUUUCAUGUGGUACUCUUGUUUCUAAUACAUGUUAAGGUGAAGUGCCUCAUAAGUAAUAAAUUAAAGAUAUAGACAGUAAAAGCAUUAAAGUAACCAUGGUUGUUUGCAUUCCUAAAAACAACAAAAAAAUUUAAAGGCCUGGUAAAAGUAUUUAUUUAGUCAAAUAUUCAUAGAUAGCAAUUUAUAUUUUAUUUCUUUGAAAGGUAUUCAGCUAGUACCAACAAGGCGUAAGAUUUUGUGCCAUGGCAGCCUCCCUAGACAAGGAGUUAUAGCCAAGAGGGCCCCCUUCCUGGUUGCCACCUUCUUCACCUCUGAAGGUUGGGGUGCCUGGAGAAGGCCUCCAGCAAUGAGGUUAAGGGCCCACUGCCUGAUAAUUUAUUACGGUCAAAGAUCAGCUCACAUAACACAAUAAAAACAGCGUUCAUAAAGAUAAAAUAUACAAUUAUGUAUAUGUAGAUUAUCUUGGCCCCACCUACAAUUACCCAUAGGUACAUGUAACAUAACUUGCUAACCAGCACUCUGGGCUCCUGUGCAAGAUUUCUACUUCUACAGCUCAGAAUAGUGCUGAUGUGUCUCACAGAUGCUUUAGUUAGUGACAUCCUUUUACCAGUUAGGGAUAUUUGCUGUCUGCUGUGCUAUCCAAUGAUGUCAUCAUGCAUACUUAAUAAAAGGAGGUGUUUUAUUUA